AGGUGCUACUGUGUACCCUGUGAAGAAGCAGCUGAUGGCUCAAGGAGUUGAAUCCCUGCUGAUCACAUGGGAGACCUAUAUCGAGUGUGUAGCUCCUGGUUCCAGCCUGGCCCCCAGCCCAAGACAUUUGAGAAGAAAUAUGUGAAAUCUUGGAGAAUUGGAAAUCAGUAGGGUGACUGGACAUUACAAUAUUGCUUGGUGGUAUUGGUCAUGGUGAAGCAUCGUAGCUCUUCGAAGUCGAAAGAAAUGAGUUGUAGAAGACAUCAUGCUGCUGAUGAAGUGGGGUCCCUGGGAAGUGCCUUUCAAAUUGAAUUCCGGAUCCGAAGCUCUGAAGAAGUCCUCAGGGACCAAGGGGGAGCUGUAUCAGAAGUGGAGCAGCCAGGACACCAAGUGGAGCCCAAGCGGGAUGCCAUCUCAGUUGGCAGCUUUUACCCGCUAUGCCACAAUGCCAGCUCCCCAAAAUUUCAUAUUUUUAAAUAGCUUUAUGGAAAAUUCUGCUGAUAACAUUAGCCUUUAAUUUUAUGAAAAUAAUGGAAAGUGAUAUGAUUAUGUAUGAUUCUACUAUGAUGGUUGCUUUUUUUUUCCCUAACAGAUACAAGAUUUGUUCAUUUCUGAAGAGAUGAAAACGGAACAUGCUCCAUGGAGGUACCCAAGAAGAAGUGUCUCAAUUACAUUGUCAACAUUUUCUACCUUCAAUAAAUUUUUAGUUCCAUCCUUUGGUGGCAACAGGGGAAACAAUUCAUUCUGCAGAGGCAGUGACUCUUAUUUUAUGUUCCUGACCCAUUUUUGUGCCAAGCCAAUCUUCAGUUCCACUAAAUACAAAUUUAAGCAUCAAGUUCAGAAACAAUUUUGACAUAGAAGUAAUUCCAUUAUAAAAGUAAAAAUUUAAAUAUUAGAAGACAUCAAGAAGAAAUUUUUCAGGAAAAGGAAAAGGAGCACGGGUUACAUGGACAAGGCAAACAGGUGAUAGGGGAGCUGGUUGCUCAGAAUCACAAUGGAAGCUCCUGGGAAAAGCCAGAUAGCACAGGUAGUAGCAUCUGCUUGUUAGACGACAAGGGGAACAGAUUUAAUUUGUUGUUGUUAUUGUUGUUGUUGUUUAAGGUUUUAUUUAUUUAUUUGGGAGGUAGAGUUACAGCGAGAGGGAGAGACAGAAAGAAAGGUGUUCCUUCCACUGGUUCACUCUCCAAAUGGCCGCAAUGGCCAGAGCUAUUCUGGUCUGAAGCCAGGAGCAAGGCACUUCUUCCUGGUCUCCCAUGUAGGUGCAGGGGCCCAAAGUCUUGGGACAUCUUCCUCUGCUUUCCCAGGCCAUAGUAGAGAGCUGGUUUGGAAGUGGAGCAGCCAGGACUAGAACCAGCGCCCAUAUGGGAUGCUGGUACCACAGGUGGAGGAUUAACCUGUGCCACCCCGCCAGCCCCCAUAUUUAAUUAUGAAAGUGAAGUCAAUCCUAUGUUCCCAGUAAAAGAAAAAAAUCUUAUUUUUCCAAAGAUCUAGCUGCUAAAUUAAAUAACUCAUUCUUGAGAACUGUGAUAGGAACCCUCACUUGAUGGUCAUAGUAAGAAAGAACUAACGUUCUUUUUUUUUGUUUAAAAACACACAUUCAAGAAGAUUAGUGUGUCUGGGAAGAUAACUGAAAGCUGUGUGUGAGACUCAGAUAGUGAGACUAGCUUCCUAGUCUACUCCAUCAACCAGCUCACAGGGCAUGGGAUUCAUACUGGGGCCUCAGCAAAAUACACAGUUAACAGUGUGUCUUUUAUUAUGACUUAUGCAUAUUCACACAGUAAAUAUUAAGUCUACAAGAUGUAUGAGGUCUGGAUAGAGUGCAGAUAUCAGAUACCCACAAUGGAAAUGAUGUUCAACGUAACUAUAAGGAGAUUUUGCAAAGUAUUUAAGUCCCUGUAGUGAUUGGAAGAAAGGAGUGAUCAAACACUAUAAAGAAGAUUCAAUAACAACUAUGAUUAAAAAAUUGUCAUCAAAAACAGAAAUUCUGGGGUUAGAGUUGUGGAACAGUGGGUUAAAUUGCCACUUGCAAUGCCAGAAUCAAGUCCCAGCUUCUAGGACCAAUCUAACUUCUUAAUGCACUGAGAAGGCAGCAGAUGAUGACCCAAGGACUUGACCCACUCCCCCAUUGUGGGAGAUCUGGAAGAAGUUCCUGGCUCCUACUUCAGCCUGGCCUAGCCUUAGCUUUUGCAGCAAUUUGAGUAGUGAAGCAGUGGAUAAAGGAUGCCCCGCAGCCCAUUUCUCCCUGUCUCUGUGGUUCUGGCUUUCAAAUAAAUAAUUUUUUUAAAUAGAAAAAAUUCUUAAAAACAGCUUAUUUUACCUUAUCAGGAGAAUAUGAGGAGUCUUCAGAAAGUUAAUAAAAAUGUGCAUUAUGAAAAACUAUACACGGAUUUAAAAAAUAUACUAUACCAAAAUACAUUUCUCUCUUAAUUCCAUUUUCCACAAACUCGUUGGACAAUCAUCAUACUUGUUAACGUAUUUUAUAACAACCCCAAAUUAUUUAUAUUUAUUGUCAUUGCAUAAUUGGUGUGCUGUAUGCAAUCAGAGAUAAACAUUAAGAGAAUGAUUGCAGAGUUUGAAUUCUGGAAGUGUUCUAUUUAUAGGCAGGGACCGAUUAUAUUAACCUUUGUGUUACAGAAGUUAAGGGAAAAGUUCAGAGUUUUCUUUCUCUUCCUGAGAAACCACUGGAGCAAUGUGUCCUUCACCAUGAUUAAUUCCUAAGCUCUCACUAAAGGAAUAAGUUUCCAAUAAAUACACAUUUUAAUUUUUUUAAAAAUGUGUGAAUAUUAUCUUUGAAAGUCUUUGUGAAAAAUAGCUUCCUUAAUAUUUUUAAAUGUAACAUUUGCUAUUCUUAGUUUUGGGAAAAGUUGGCCAUGAAGCAAUGGAGAAAAAUGGUUUUUACUAUCAAUUCAUUUUUCUGCCCACAAUGGCUCUCUCCAGUGUAACUCUCUUUAUGGUAGAGUGCAGUCACUGGGGUGGACUUCUCUUUGUCCAGAAAGCUCAUCAAAAAAUAAUGAAAUUCUUUUAGUGAGGGUAAAUUAAUUUUUUUGUUACUAGAGUUGUCAGGCUUUUGAGAGAUGAAAUGUCACAUAUUUUAAGGAAAAGCAAUUAGUGGCCUUCCACGGAAUUUUGAAUUGUAAGGGGACUCUGAGACCAUGAUGGAAACAUCUCAUAAAUGAAAAUUUUUGAUUUAUCUUACAAAGAAUUUACUUCAUUGACACUUGAGAAAAGCCACUUCUUUGACAAGGAAACUAUUCUCUUGAACCAAGUUAGCCUUAUUUAGGUCCAUUCCCAAGCAGAUCUGUAAUAGAAAGAGGAAAAAGGUAGUAAUUCCAGAAAGUCAGCUAAUUUGGUGUCAUCACUGUGCAAUUCUCUGAACUCUUCUGAUUGAUUACACAUUUAUGCUUCUCUGCAGCCUAUGGCAAACCCAUGCACUAAGUAUGCCCAUUUAGCAUUGUACAAGAUAAUAUGUAGGGAGCCGGCGCUGUGGUGUAGUGGGUAAAGCCACUGCCUGUAGUGCCGGCAUCCCACACGGGUGCUAGUUCAAUUCCUGGCAGCUCCACUUCCAAUCCAGCUCUCUUCUAUGGCCUGCAAAAGCAGUAGAAGAUGGCCCAAGUGUUCGGGCCCCUGCACCCACGAGGGAGACAUGGAAGUAUCUCCAGGCUCCUGGCUUCGGAUCGGCUCAGCUCUGGAUGUUGCAGCCAUUUGGGGGGUGAACCAAUGGAUGGAAGACUUUCUCUCUCUCUCUCUCUCUCUCUGCCUCUCUGUAACUCUGCCUUUCAAAUAAAUAAAGAAAUCUUUAAACUAACAAAAAACAGAUAAUAUGCAGUAUUUAAUGUUACCCAGCCUAUGAGAAAUAGAAAAGAAUGAGCCAAAAUAGGAGGAAAUUUUUAAUUGAAUUUUUAGAUUAUUUAUUUAUUUAUUGAAAGGCAGAGUGAUGGGCGUGGGGGACAGAAGGAGAGAGAGAGAGAGAGAGAGAGAGAGAGAGCAAUAUUCCAUCCAACAGUUCACUCCUCAAUUGGCUACAACAGCCAAUUCUGGGUGAAGCUGAAGCAGGAGCAGGAACUCCAUCCACGUCUCUCAUGGAUGGCAGGAGCCCAAGCACUUGGAUCAUCUUCCUCUGCACUCCCAGGUGCAUAAGUAGGAAACUGAAUCAGAAGUGGAGCCGUUGGAACUCCAACCAGUCCUCCUAUUUGGGAUUUCAGUGCUGCAAGAAUCAGCUUAAUCCAUUGUGCUACACGACAGCCCAGGAUUGGAAUUAUUAAUAUUAUUCCCCAUGAGUGAUAAGCAUUUUAUCAUUUUGAGGUUAGAAUUUAACCUUGUUCUGGGCAUCUCAGAUAUAAAUAAUAAGCAGUACCUGAAAAAAAAAAAAAGGUUUUGGCUGAAUAGAGACAAGUUAUCCUAGGCGGGGAGGGAAUAUUGCUGAACACUGAUGUCUUAGAGUUGCUUUAGAAGAAAUUGCGAUAGAAAUUGGUUAUUAGUCAGGAUUUCAAAGUCUGAUUCAAUACAUUUGUCAGCAUAUCAGAAUGUUGGGAAGGCAAUAUAACCCCAGAAGCAAAAGAAAGCUAAACUGAAAUGAAAUUCAAGUCCUAGCUCCCUUGGAACCAAACAAUCAGUAAUUAAAGUGAAUAUAUUUUAAAUUAAUUUAUUUUACACUAAAAGAGAAUAAGCUUCAUAAAUUGAACAAUCUCCAACGUCUAUGGAUUUAGAUAUGGAAGAGAAUUUUCAAUAUUCAUUAGCAUCAAUUUUAAACUUUAUUUAGGGGGUGGUGUUGUGGUGCAACCAACUAGUCAUUGCUUGUGAUGCUGGCUUCCCAAAACCCAGAGUUGGCACUCGAGUCCCAGCUGCUCCACUUCCAAUAUAGUUUGCUGCUGAUUUUACCUGGGAAAGCAGUGGAUAUUGGUGCAAGUACUUUGGCCCCUGUCACCCAUGUGGGGUAUCAAGAUGGAGUUAUAGGGGCUGGCGCUGAGGCUCAUUUGGCUGAUCCUCCACCUGCGGUGCUGGCAUCCCAUAUGGGCACCGGGUUCUGGUCCAAGCUGCUCCUCUUGCAGUCCAGCUCUCUGCUGUGGCCUGGGAAGGGAGUGGAGGAUGGCCCAAGUCCUUGGGCACCUGCACCUGCGUGGGAGACCAGGAGGAAGCACCUGGCUCCUGGCUUAGGAUCAGCACAGCGCCGAUCAUAGUAGCCAUUUUGGGGGUGAACCAACGGAAGGAAGACCUUUCUCUCUGUCUCUCUCUCUCUCACUGUCUAACUCCAUCUGUCAAAAAAUAAAUAAAUAAAAAUAAAAAAAGACGGAGUUAUAGGCUCUUGAUUAUAGCCAAGGCAAACCUCCGCUGUUAGAGGUCAUUUGGGAAGUGAACCAAUGGUUAGAAGAUGUCUCUCUGUGUGUAUGUGUGUGUGUAAUCCUUCUUUAAAAUACAUAAUUAAGCAAAUCUUUUUUCAAAAAGAAAAUUAAAAAAUUAUUUGGCCUUUUCUGGAUUAGAAUUUAACAACCGGGACUUGGAAAUGUCACCACUGCAUAUACGCCAGGCUAGCUUCCACUUGAGUUUAAAAUGCAUUUCAUGAGAUAAUUUAAUUUUCAUGCAGUACAGUAUGUGCAAAGAUGAAGUGACUUGGAAAGCUUUUCACUUGUAAGAAAGACCUCACAAAAAAGAAGUCAUUAUUAACCGGCCUUAAAGAGCUAAUGAAUCAUUCACUGGAAAGCCUCACUUACACAGAAAGUACAACGUCGCUUUGGACAUUACCUUUUUCAUUUAAAGCAGGAAUUAAUUGUAAAGCGAAUCUCAAACAUUGCCAGUAAGUUGUAAAGGAAUGUGGUGUGAUGCAGUUUACUGAUACUUAAGACGGCCACAGAACAAUUUUCACACCUCAUUGCUAAACAUAAAUGAGAGGUAAAAUGAAAUCUGAGACAUAGAAUAGGAACUCUUUAGGCUCUUUGAUCACUCAUUAUAUGGAUUCCCCACUUAGAAUUUCACAUUUGUUUCCCUGCUUUAUGCACCAGAACUAAAAAUGAUUCAGUGGGCUGGCAUUGUGGUUUAGCGGGCUAAGCCACCACAUAGGCUGUCACAGAAUCCCGUAUCAGAGAACUUGUUUGUUGCCACUGCUCCAUUUCCAAAUUAGCUUCUUGUUAACAUACCUAGGAAGGCAGCACAAGAUGGCCUAAGUACUUGCACUCUUGCCACCCAGAUGGGAGACCAGCAUGGAGUUUUUGGUUACUGGCUUCAGCCUGGCCCAGCUCUGGGUGUUGCAGUAAUUUGGGGAGAGAACCAAUGGAUGGAAGAUUCUUUCUUUCUCUCGGUCUCUCUGUCUCUCUGUCUCUCUCUCUCUACUCUCUCUCUCUCUCUCUCUCUGUGUGUGUGUCUCUGUCACACUGUGUUUCAAAUAAAUAAUUUUUUGACAGAUAGAGUUAGACAAUGAGAGAGAGAGAUAGAGAGAAAGGUCUUCCUUCCAUUGGUUCAUCCCCCAAAUGGCUGCUAUGGCUGGCGCUGCGCCAAUCCGAAGCCAGGAACCAGGUGCUUCUUCCUGGUUUCCCAUGUGGGUGCAGAGCCCAAGCACCUGGGCCAUCCUCCAAUGCCUUCCCAGGACACAGCAGAGAACUGGACUGGAAGAGGAGCAACCAGGACUAGACCCGGUGUGCAUAUGGGAUGCUGGUGCCGCAGGCAGAGGAUUAAUCAAGUAAGCACGGCACCGGCCCCUCAAACAAAUAAAUCUUUAUAAAAAUGUUCAUAGCAUAUGUAAUGUUGCAGGUAUUAUUUCUACUUUGGUAGAUUCUUCCAGCUCAAGUGAUUGAAAUAAAAUCUAAUUUUAAAUUGUACAAUCUUCAACAAAUUGUAAUCCCCUAGUCUUCCAUUUUUCAUGAAUGUAAAUAGGACCAAUGAAGAAUAGAGUGUUUGAUUGAUUCAAAUAUUUGUUUCAAUUUUAAAUAGUAAUAGCUUAAUUUUCUUUAAGUCACUAUGUUGAAUUUUAUAAGUGAAUUAAUAGGGGCCAGUGCUGUGGCACAGCGGGUUAAAGCCCUGGACUGAAGCACGGGCAUCCCAUAUGGGUGCCAGUUGGAGAAUCUGCUUCUCCACUUCCCAUCCAGCUUUCAGGUAUAGCCUGGGAAAGCAGUAGAAGAUGGCCCAAGUCCUUGGGCCCCUGCACCCAUGUGGGAAACCAGGAAGAAACUCCUGGCUUUGGAUCAGCGCAGCUUCAGCCAUUGUGGCCAUUUGGGGAGUGAACCAGUGGAUGGAAGACCUCCCUUUGUAACUCUGUCUUAAAUAAAUAAAAUAAAAUCUAAAAAAAAAAAGUGAAUUAAUGGCAUAACAUGUUGUCAACAGGGCAAGUAUUGUGGUGCCGAGGAUUUAGCUGCUCUUGAGAUACUGGCAUCCCAUAUCAGAGCUCUAAGUCUUGGUUGAUCUGCUUCUGAUCCAGCUCCCUGCUAAUGUGCCUGGGAAAGCAGCUGAAGAUGGCUGAAGUACUUGGGCCUCUGUCACCCAUGUGGGUGACCUUAUGGAAUUCCAGGCUCCUGACUGUGGACUGGUCCAGCCCCGCCCAUUGUGGCCAUUUGGGGAGAGGACCAAUGGAGGAAAAAUUCUCUCUCUUGCUUGCUUGUUCUCACUCCAACUCUCUGUAACUCUGUUUUUCAAAUAAAUAAAUCUUUAAAAAAUAGAUCUUUGAAAACAAUAUGGGGGCCAAAGCUGUGGUAUAGCAGGUAAAGCCACUACCCGCAGUGCCUGCAUCCCACAUGGGCGCUAAUUUGAAUCCUGGCUGCUCCACUUACAAUCUGGCUCUCUACUAUGGCCUAGGAAACCAGUAGAAGAUGGCCUAAGUGUGUGGGCCCCUGCACUCACGUAGGAGAUCUGAAGAAGUUCCUAGAUUCAGAUCAGUGCAGCAACAGCCAUUAUGGUCAACUGGGGAGCAAACUAGCAGAUGGAAGACCUCUCUCUCUCUGCCUCUCCUUCUCUCUUUAUGUAACUAUGACUUUCAAAUAAAUAAAGCUUUAAAAAAUAUGUUGUCAGGACAUGUUUACUUGCAUAUAUAGAUACACAGACAAUGUAACUUCUACUUUGUUCUAAUAAAGUGAAAAUUAUCCACAUAAUUGUGUAAAAUUAUUUAGAAAAUGAUGAAGUAUAAAUUUUUUCAAAAAUAUUUAAAACACCCUGACAUUAAUUUGAAGUGCUUUUGGGCUACAAAAACAAUACAAAACAAAAUCAUUGUAUGAAGUGUAUUAUUGUCAUGAAGAAUGGCACUUUGUCCUCACAUGGAACAACUAUGGCACCUUGCUUCCCCAGUCAACCUUCAUGUUAUUUUCAGCAACUUCUUACCUCACUAGGCCUUAGUUUGCUCACAAAAAAAUUUAAGUAACACUGGUAAGUACCUUACAGAGUGCUGCUUUUAGGUGAGAUAAUAACCAUAUGAGCAAAGCUCUAAGCUGAAUGCCUGACACAGGUCAUCCAUGAGAGCCUGUUCUAGUGCAAUCAAUACACAGUCAUCCUAAUCAGACAAAAGAACUUAAAUUACAGUAGUUUUACAAUGGGAGCACAAAUUAAGUAUUCUGGAAUACAUCACCACUAGUUGCAAAUCCAAAGA